CCCUUAGACGUUCUGGGCCGCACGCGCGCUACACUGACCAGUGCAACAAGCAUCCGUCCUUGGCCGACAGGCUCGGGCAAUCUUUGAACGCUGGUCGUGAUGGGGAUAGACCUUUGCAAUUAUGGGUCUUCAACGAGGAAUUCCUAGUAAACGCAAGUCAUCAGCUUGCAUUGAUUACGUCCCUGCCCUUUGUACACACCGCCCGUCGCACCUACCGAUUGAAUGGUCCGGUGAAAUCUCGGGACGGCGGCUUGGUCGCUUGCGUCCGACUGCUGAAACUUGAUUAAACCAUAUCAUUUAGAGGAAGGUGAANUCGUAACA
rnacentral:rRNA from 1 species